ACGAACGCUGGCGGCGUGCUUAACACAUGCAAGUCGAACGGAAAGGCCCUGCUUUUGUGGGGUGCUCGAGUGGCGAACGGGUGAGUAACACGUGAGUCACCUGCCCUUGACUUUGGGAUAACUUCAGGAAACUGGGGCUAAUACCGGAUAGGAGCUCCUGCUGCAUGGUGGGGGUUGGAAAGUUUCGGCGGUUGGGGAUGGACUCGCGGCUUAUCAGCUUGUUGGUGGGGUAGUGGCUUACCAAGGCUUUGACGGGUAGCCGGCCUGAGAGGGUGACCGGCCACAUUGGGACUGAGAUACGGCCCAGACUCCUACGGGAGGCAGCAGUGGGGAAUAUUGCACAAUGGGCGGAAGCCUGAUGCAGCAACGCCGCGUGCGGGAUGACGGCCUUCGGGUUGUAAACCGCUUUCGCCUGUGACGAAGCGUGAGUGACGGUAAUGGGUAAAGAAGCACCGGCUAACUACGUG
rnacentral:rRNA from 1 species